rnacentral:rRNA from 1 species
AUUGAACGCUGGCGGCAGGCCUAACACAUGCAAGUCGAGCGGAUGACGGGAGCUUGCUCCUUGAUUCAGCGGCGGACGGGUGAGUAAUGCCUAGGAAUCUGCCUGGUAGUGGGGGACGACGUUUCGAAAGGAACGCUAAUACCGCAUACGUCCUACGGGAGAAAGCAGGGGACCUUCGGGCCUUGCGCUAUCAGAUGAGCCUAGGUCGGAUUAGCUAGUUGGUGAGGUAAUGGCUCACCAAGGCGACGAUCCGUAACUGGUCUGAGAGGAUGAUCAGUCACACUGGAACUGAGAACCGGUCAAGACUCCUACGGGAGGCAGCAGUGGGAAAUAUUGGACAAGGGGCGAAAGCCUGAUCCAGCCAUGCCGCGUGUGUGAAGAAGGUCUUCGGAUUGUAAAGCACUUUAAGUUGGGAGGAAGGGCAGUAAGCUAAUACCUUGCUGUUUUGACGUUACCGACAGAAUAAGCACCGGCUAACUACGUGCCAGCAGCCGCGGUAAUAC